rnacentral:rRNA from 1 species
GACGAACGCUGGCGGCGUGCCUAAUACAUGCAAGUUGAGCGCUGAAGGUUGGUACUUGUACCAACUGGAUGAGCAGCGAACGGGUGAGUAGCGCGUGGGGAAUCUGCCUUUGAGCGGGGGACAACAUUUGGAAACGAAUGCUAAUACCGCAUAAAAACUUUAAACACAAGUUUUAAGUUUGAAAGAUGCAAUUGCAUCACUCAAAGAUGAUCCCGCGUUGUAUUAGCUAGUUGGUGAGGUAAAGGCUCACCAAGGCGAUGAUACAUAGCCGACCUGAGAGGGUGAUCGGCCACAUUGGGACUGAGACACGGCCCAAACUCCUACGGGAGGCAGCAGUAGGGAAUCUUCGGCAAUGGACGAAAGUCUGACCGAGCAACGCCGCGUGAGUGAAGAAGGGUUUCGGAUCGUAAAACUCGGUUGGUAGAGAAGAACGUUGGUGAGAGUGGAAAGCUCAUCAAGUGACGGUAACUACACAGAAAGGGACGGCUAACUACGUG